CCCCCCUCUUGCUGCCAAAACAUGUUUGACUCUUGUUAAACUGUACAGUACGAUUUUAGAAUAAUUUCAUUUUCGUGGGAAUAUUGACUUAUUACUCGGAACAUGAGCAAGAUACUUCAAGUUGCUUGACAAAUGAGAUUAGCACUCUUUUUCUUCUUGGACACAGCCUGUUUUCUCAAAUUCUGGCAACUUGGCGUCACCUAUAAUUUAUAAUCAGGUUCCAAAUCCUCCACUUCAGGCUCGUAGUCUGGUAUUAUCCUAUCUUCUUUAAAUUUUAGGAGAGAAAUGGAUUGUCCGAAUUUGGAUAUUCAUGCUCGGAUUGUGAGUCUUCAAAUGAUUCCUCCACUGAUAUCAGUCGUUCGGAUUAAACUUUGAAAUUGGUAUUAUUAUCGUCACUGCUCCAAUUUUUUAUCGUUAUGCAUGUAAACCAAAAUUCCCUGCUUGGAGUUGUAAGACAAGUUAAGGAUCGAAAGAUAUAGGCCUAUAGCAAUGUGAUAAACAAAUACAAAAUAAAUUUAA